rnacentral:rRNA from 1 species
AUACGUAGGUGGCGAGCGUUGUCCGGAAUUACUGGGCGUAAAGGGCGCGUAGGCGGCCUGAUAAGUCAGAUGUGAAACCCCCAGGCUCAACUUGGGGCAUGCAUUUGAAACUGUUGGGCUCGAGUGUCGGAGAGGAAAGCGGAAUUCCUAGUGUAGCGGUGAAAUGCGUAGAUAUUAGGAGGAACACCAGUGGCGAAGGCGGCUUUCUGGACGAUAACUGACGCUGAGGCGCGAAAGCGUGGGGAGCAAACAGGAUUAGAUACCCUGGUAGUCCACGCUGUAAACGAUGGAUACUAGGUGUGGGAGGUAUCGACCCCUUCCGUGCCGCAGUAAACGCAAUAAGUAUCCCGCCUGGGGAGUACGGCCGCAAGGUUGAA